rnacentral:rRNA from 1 species
CCUACGGGAGGCAGCAGUAAGGAAUAUUGGUCAAUGGAGGCAACUCUGAACCAGCCAUGCCGCGUGCAGGAUGACGGCCCUAUGGGUUGUAAACUGCUUUUAUACAAGAGAAAACCCUGGUACGUGUACCAGGUUGAUAGUAUUGUAAGAAUAAGCAUCGGCUAACUUCGUGCCAGCAGCCGCGGUAAGACGAAGGAUGCAAGCGUUAUCCGGAUUCAUUGGGUUUAAAGGGUGCGUAGGCGGACUGAUAAGUCAGUGGUGAAAUCUCUUUGCUUAACAAAGAAACUGCCAUUGAUACUGUCGGUCUAGAGUAUAGAUGACGUUGGCGGAAUAUGACAUGUAGUGGUGAAAUACUUAGAUAUGUCAUAGAACACCGAUUGCGAAGGCAGCUAACGAAACUAUAACUGACGCUGAGGCACGAAAGUGCGGGGAUCAAACAGGAUUAGAUACCCUGGUAGUCCGCACCGUAAACGAUGAUUACUCGUUGUUGGCGAUAUGACAGUCAGCGACCAAGCGAAAGCGAUAAGUAAUCCACCUGGGGAGUACGCCGGCAACGGUGAAACUUAAAUGAAUUGACGGCGNGAGAGNGCGACGGACGACGACGAGGGGAGGAGG